rnacentral:rRNA from 1 species
GAUGAACGCUGGCGGCGUGCCUAAUACAUGCAAGUCGAGCGAAUGACGAGGAGCUUGCUCCUCUGAUUUAGCGGCGGACGGGUGAGUAACACGUGGGUAACCUGCCUGUAAGACGGGAAUAACUCCGGGAAACCGGAGCUAAUACCGGAUGAUAACGAUAAGCGCCUGCUUCUUUUUUGAAAGUCGGUUUCGGCUGACGCUUACAGAUGGGCCCGCGGCGCAUUAGCUAGUUGGUGAGGUAACGGCUCACCAAGGCGACGAUGCGUAGCCGACCUGAGAGGGUGAUCGGCCACACUGGGACUGAGACACGGCCCAGACUCCUACGGGAGGCAGCAGUAGGGAAUCUUCGGCAAUGGACGAAAGUCUGACCGAGCAACGCCGCGUGAGCGAUGAAGGCCUUCGGGUCGUAAAGCUCUGUUGUCAGAGAAGAACAAGUACCGGAGUAACUGCCGGUACCUUGACGGUACCUGACCAGAAAGCCACAGCUAACUACGUGCCAGCCGCCGCCGUAAGAC